UACGUAGGGGGCUAGCGUUGUCCGGAAUCAUUGGGCGUAAAGAGCGUGUAGGCGGCCCGGUAAGUCCGCUGUGAAAGUCGGGGGCUCAACCCUCGAAUGCCGGUGGAUACUGUCGGGCUAGAGUGCGGAAGAGGCGAGUGGAAUUCCCGGUGUAGUGGUGAAAUGCGUAGAUAUCGGGAGGAACACCGGUGGCGAAGGCGGUUCUCUGGGCCUUACCUGACGCUGAGGAGCGAAAGCAUGGGGAGCGAACAGG
rnacentral:rRNA from 1 species